rnacentral:rRNA from 1 species
UGGGGAAUUUUGCACAAUGGGCGCAAGCCUGAUGCAGCGACGCCGCGUGAGGGAUGAAGGCCUUCGGGUUGUAAACCUUUUUCGCUCAUGGUCAAGCCGCAGCUUUGGGUUGUGGUGAGGGUAGUGGGUAAAGAAGCGCCGGCUAACUACGUGCCAGCAGCCGCGGUAAUACGUAGGUGGCAAGCGUUGUCCGGAAUUAUUGGGCGUAAAGCGCGCGCAGGUGGUUUAGAAAGUCUGAUGUGAAAGCCCACGACUCAACCGUGGAGGGUCAUUGGAAACUAAUAAACUUGAGUGCAGGAGAGAAAAGUGGAAUUCCUAGUGUAGCGGUGAAAUGCGUAGAGAUUAGGAGGAACACCGGUGGCGAAAGCGGCUUUUUGGCCUGCAACUGACACUGAGGCGCGAAAGCGUGGGGAGCAAACAGG